rnacentral:snoRNA from 1 species
UGGUCAUUAUCAAGGCUUUUAGAAUGCAUUUUCUCAUUUACUGUGAACAUAACAAUAAAAAAUUUCCCACCAGGUUUUCUAUAAGCUACUUUGUUAGCAGUCAACCUGUUGGGAAUGAUA